CUAGUGGCGGACGGGUGAGGAAUACGUAGGAAUUUGCCCUUAAGUGGGGGAUAACCCGGGGAAACCCGGAUUAAUACCGCAUGAUCUUUUCGAAGCAAAGCCGGGGACCGCAAGGCCUGGCGCUUUUGGAGAAGCCUACGUCGGAUUAGCUAGUUGGUGAGGUAAUGGCUCACCAAGGCUGCGAUCCGUAACUGGUCUGAGAGGAUGAUCAGUCACAUCGGAACUGAGACACGGUCCGAACUCCUACGGGAGGCAGCAGUGGGGAAUAUUGGACAAUGGGCGAAAGCCUGAUCCAGCAAUACCGCGUGUGUGAAGAAGGCCUUCGGGUUGUAAAGCACUUUAGGUCGGAAAGAAAAAACUUGAGUUAAUACCUUAAGUCUUGACGGUACCGACAGAAUAAGCACCGGCUAACUCUGUGCCAGCAGCCGCGGUAAUACAGAGGGUGCAAGCGUUAAUCGGAUUUACUGGGCGUAAAGCGUGCGUAGGUGGCUGUUUAAGUCGGAUGUGAAAGCCCUGGGCUUAACCUGGGAACUGCAUUCGAUACUGGAUAGCUAGAGAUCGGUAGAGGGCAGCGGAAUUCCGGGUGUAGCGGUGAAAUGCGUAGAUA
rnacentral:rRNA from 1 species